rnacentral:lncRNA from 1 species
CAGUUGGACCUAUUUUUGGAACGAACUUAACUGAAAAAUAUGGUUUCUCCUGGGCAACAUCAGUCAUGUCUUUCAUUAUAUUUGGUGUUAUGAUAAUCUUGAUGUUGGGUACGCUAAUUGAGAACAGAAUAAAUAAAAGGAAAUAAUUACUUCGGCUUGACCCAAGAAUGCCACCUGUCCUGGGUAAAUCUACAUGAUCCACAGAUUCAAAAUCUACAUGGUCCACAGAUUCAAAAACAACGUCUGAGCGUAAAAAAUCACUUUAAUUAUUUUACCUUUUUUGCACAUGCUCAUGAGAUGACAACAUUCACAAAAUUGUGCAUUUUUACAGCAUUAGUUGAACAGAAAAUAACGCGUACUGAUGAUAGAUAUUUAGUUUUUCAAACUAUAUUUUGUAAAUUAUAAGUUUAUAGAAAUAUAUUAACAU